GCCGCUAUGGUGAAAUUGGUAGA
rnacentral:ncRNA from 5 species